rnacentral:rRNA from 1 species
GACGAACCGUGCGAACGUUGUUCGGAAUCACUGGGCUUAAAGGGCGCGUAGGCGGCCCGCCGCGUCCGGGGUGAAAUCCUCCCGCUCAACGGGAGAACGGCCUCGGAUACGGGCGGCUGGAGGCGGGUAGGGGCACGCGGAACUGUGGGUGGAGCGGUGAAAUGCGUUGAGAUCCACAGGAACUCCGGUGGCGAAGGCGGCGUGCUGGACCCGAUCUGACGCUGAGGCGCGAAAGCCAGGGGAGCGAACGGG